rnacentral:tRNA from 1 species
AGGUGGCUCAGUGGAAAGAGUGUUGGGCUUGGAACCUAUAAGGUCUGAGUUCAAAUCCAGCCU